rnacentral:misc_RNA from 1 species
GGGAAAUAAUUCUGGAGAAAAUGAUGUAGCUGGAACCUCUGUUGCUGCCUUCUGAGUAAAACGAAUUCUGCCCAAGCUUAAGGAGACUGGAAAUCAAGUGCAGAAGGGGGAUAACUGUGCUGGAUCUAUAGCUGAAAAUGAAGGCAUGCUGAAAACAUUGCCUAAAAUGAAGUUAGUUACAUUUGAAGGGAAAGAACCUAGGGCUUGGAUUAGAAAAUAUAUUAAAUACUUUGAGGCGUAUGGGGUACCUAAAGAUCAAAUGUUCGGAAUUGCUAGUUUGUUUUUAAUAGAUAAGGCAGAUGCUUGGUAUCACAAUUGGAUAAAAGGGGCUGGAUCUCAUGAUUGGGUGUAUUUUGGAAGGGAGAUUUGUAGCAGAUUUGAUGAGGAAGGGUUUGAAGAUAUAAUGGAGGAGUUUAUGAGAAUUAGGCAAGAGAGAACUAUAGAGGAAUAUUUGGAUAAAUUUGAAGAUAUGGGAAUUAGAUUGGAA